rnacentral:sRNA from 2 species
CCUGAUCUGGAGCCGAGCUCUGCCAGCGGAUCAGCGGCACGAAUCACCUACUGGCAGAGGCGGGGGAACCAUCAGCGGCCGCUAUGUGCGGUCUUGGGGUGAAGUCCGUCAGUGCGCAAGUCCUCUCCGACGAAGGAAUCCUUGGGAUACCUCUGUGCUGGAACGGCUUGCGGGCCGCGGGCCGGGUCUGAAACUCUCUGACCCGAAUCCGACAGCUAACUCCGCAGGCUAUCCAGAGAGGAACA